rnacentral:rRNA from 1 species
AGAGUUUGAUCCUGGCUCAGGAUGAACGCUGGCGGUCUGCUUAACACAUGCAAGUCGAACGGACGUUUUCGGACGUUAGUGGCGGACGGGUGAGUAACGCGUGAGAAUCUGCCUUCAGGUUGGGGACAACAGUUGGAAACGACUGCUAAUACCCAAUGUGCCGAGAGGUGAAAGCUUUAGUGCCUGAGGAUGAGCUCGCGUCUGAUUAGCUAGUUGGAGUGGUAAUGGCACACCAAGGCGACGAUCAGUAGCUGGUCUGAGAGGAUGAUCAGCCACACUGGGACUGAGACACGGCCCAGACUCCUACGGGAGGCAGCAGUGGGGAAUUUUCCGCAAUGGGCGCAAGCCUGACGGAGCAAGACCGCGUGAGGGAGGAAGGCUCUUGGGUUGUAAACCUCUUUUAUCAGGGAAGAAGAUCUGACGGUACCUGAUGAAUAAGCAUCGGCUAACUCCGUGCCAGCAGCCGCGGUAAUACGGAGGAUGCAAGCGUUAUCCGGAAUGAUUGGGCGUAAAGCGUCCGCAGGUGGUUUAUCAAGUUUGCGGUUAAAGGUUCUGGCUCAACCAGAGACAGGCCGUGAAAACUGAUAGACUAGAGUAUGGUAGGGGCAGAGGGAAUUCCCAGUGUAGCGGUGAAAUGCGUAGAGAUUGGGAAGAACACCGGUGGCGAAAGCGCUCUGCUAGGCCAAAACUGACACUGAGGGACGAAAGCUAGGGGAGCGAAUGGGAUUAGAUACCCCAGUAGUCCUAGCCGUAAACGAUGGAUACUAGGUGUAGCUUGUAUCGACCCAAGCUGUGCCGUAGCUAACGCGUUAAGUA